GUGAAAGUCUCAACCUGUCUCCUACCCUACCCCCCACCACCUGCUGCCCAUUAUAAGGAACAAUGAGUUCCCAUGGUUUGUAACUGACAGUGGUGCCAUAACGGAUCUCUAAGGAUACAACCUACCUCCAGUUAAGUGAGCAUUCUUGCUGCAGCAGGCCUGCUAGAAGAAGCCUGAGGCCUGAGCCCUGCC